UCUCAUAUGUAGUUUUGUAUUACAAAGAAGAGGAAAAAUCGUGAAAAUAAAAAACACGAGUUCAAAAUAACAAUUAAUUUUUGCGUACUCUCAAACACCUGAGUACUAAAUCAAAUCAGUUGGAGGUAAAUUAUACCGAACUUAUUCGUGUGUUUAAAAUUUGUUAUACAAAUGAUGUAGAACAAUUAAAAACUGAAGUGUUCCAAGUUCCAAGUUGCAAUCUGCAAUCUGGUAUUAAUGAGUGAUUUAAAAAAAAUAUAAUAAAGGUGUUUGCAGAAUGGAAGGGAUGGAACCACCAGUACCGACGGACACGACAAUCAGUGUUUUGCGUAAACUUAGCCAUCCGCCAUUAGAAAAAGAGGAAAUUAAAAAAACGGUUGAGCCCAGUUACAACAAAAAAAUUCAGGCUGUAUUAAUUACUCUGUUUAUAUGGUUAAAUAUCAGUGGCUUCAGUUUAGGUUUUAUGUAUGCGAGGUCUUCAAAUAUUAAGGAUGACAUCCUGAAAAGGGGGGCCUACAAAUUCGUGGAAAUGGCAAUAUAAAGACACUUUCCAACUCCAGCUUGGUAAAGUUAUGAAAAAUAUCCAUUUCCAAGUUGCCGUUUACCUGUGGUUUAACGAGAAAGAGCGAGUGGACGUGGAGAGGCCAAUAAUUGAGAAAGAUUUAACAACAUUCUUAUCUGGUUUAUUGGACAGCGUGGAGAAAAAAUUAGCAGAAAUUUCUAAAAAUGUACCGACAAGUUGCGAAUUGGAUAUUUAUCUGGCGACGGUCCGAAUGUGGGCUAUGGCACCUCCGACUGAAAGUGAAACGAAAUUAAGGUCGGAAUGGGUUUCAUUUCUUAAUCGCAUGGCGGACAUGGUAGACGAGCAAAAAUCUACGCAAAGCCCUCCUAUUUCGAAAAUUGGAUCGGAUCCCCCAAUCAAAUCUAGUCGCAUAAUAGUAAAAGUUCCAGAUCGUCGAUGGAAUCCGAAAAAAAGAUCCCAGACAGAAACAAAGAUCCAAGAAGUACCAAGUGCAAGCUGCAAAGACAAGAAUUGAAACCCUAUACUUACACUAAGAAUUUUUCAUUUUAUUACACUAUCAUCAUUUCUGUUAACGUUUCUUAUAAGUUGCACAUCAGUGCGUAACACAGUUCGCUGGUUUAGUGGGAGAGAUGCGAAGCAAUUAUGACUUUGAAACAGUUUUAAAAGUUCCUGCGUAGCAAGGCCAGUAAAAUUAUAAUCAAGAACCCAUUUCCUCAAAUUAAUUUUAAAUUCACUAACAUCUAUGUCACUUUUUUGAGCAUCGCUAAAUUGCUUUUAACUUUCUCUACUUUCACUUCCGUUUCAGACAGAUUUCUUUUACUUCCGUUACCAACAGAGAUUCAGGAUUAUAAUAUAGAUACAAGCUAUUUUGUAAAAAUUUGUUUAGUGGAUCCUGCCACCCAGCUGGAAAGAAAACAAGUUGCAGGUGACCUGGAAGGUUGAACAAUAGCUGGCUAUAAUCCCCAAAUUGGGUAGCAUCGAUGCCUAGCUCGUAUCUUAUCACGAUUUAUAAGGCCAGGAUUAAACUCUAAUCCUUUUAUUAAUUAUGAUACGUAUGUAGCUCAGUUGCAAUUGGUGUUUGUUGAUGAAUUGAACAAAUAAAUUUCCCAAUCAUCGCAAUCACAAUGACACGAAAAUUAUCGUUUUCUAUGUUAUAACAUUUUUAAGGUUGCAAAUAUUUUUUUGCCUCAAUGGUACAAUAGAUAACAGAAUUAUGUGGAAUUUUCACCGUGGACAGGUACCUGAACACAUGUUUCAACCCUUCACAUACAUAAUGUAUGUGAAGCUGAAUGUAUGAUACAUUCGGCUCAAAACCCACUUGGUGUAUUCCUGGAAACCAAAAAUGUGAAAGGAACUUGGCCCAUGUAUAUAAUCCGACAACCGAUUCCAUACUUAAAAAAAACACUAGCCUAAAUGUUUUCAUAAACACAGCAUAAUUAAGUUGCAUUCUGAAUGUUGCAGGGAACAAUACUGAAGUUAUAUAGUGAUAAGUAAAUUGAGGAAACCCAUCUGAUAUACAUCCAUCUUUUGAUAAUAUAUUUUCAUGAGAAUGUCAAAAGCGGCAGUCGUUUUACAAAAUGGCAUUCCAGCCACGGUCCCUUCUCGUCGUGUCCAGUUAUGCCCAAUUUGUCAACGACAAUAUUCCCGCAUGGAGUCUUUACGGAACCACAUGAAUUUGGUUCACAACACGACUGAACGACCCCGACAUCCAUGCACGUUCCCAGGCUGUGGUAAAACAUAUCAGAACAAAACUUGGGUCGUAUAUCAUUUUAGAAUGGAGCAUUACGAAAAUCCAGCCCGAUUUGGGUGCACUUUAUGUGGCAGAGAAUUUAAAGCCAACCCCGACCUGGUCAAGCACAUUGCCACGCACACGACCGAGAAACCUCACAAGUGUUCAAGUUGUGGGACAAGAUUCGUACAAAUCAGUAGCCUAAAAAGGCAUGAGAAAAUCCACCAGCCAAAAUCUCUCCGACCAGUUUUCACCUGCCGUUUUUGUCCCAUCAGCUUCGCCUCGAAUUGCAGCCUCUGGCAACACAAGAAAAUUUAUCAUGACAAUCAGCGCCACCCGUGUAACGAGUGUGGCAAAGUGUUGAAGUCAUAUUCCGGUAGGAGAGCCCAUAUGCUAGCUAACCACGCACGAAACACAGAUAGAACAUAUUCCUGUGAGAAGUGUGAGUACAAAAGUCCUGUCAAGGCCAAUCUACUCGAUCACGUGAGAAGGAAACACGCCGGGGGUGAUGGAAAGAGAGAAGAGUGUUAUUCCUGCGGGAAGAAAUUCUUCGCGGUGUACGAAUUGAGGCGGCAUCUUGGAAAGAUGCAUACUCUCGAGGGCCGGAUGUAAGGGAAUGUAUUUAAAUAUCUACGUUAAGUAAAAUAUUUUCAGUUAUCAUACUUCAAGAUUUUAGCGUAGUUAAGAAAUAAUUUUAAAUUAAUACAAAUAAUUUUAGAAGCGUUUGUUAGCCUAGUUUUGUAUGGCGACUGAGCCAUUGUUUUUUCACGGCAGAUCUAUCCCUCAUUGUCGAAUGAGUUAUUUAAGUACUGUUUAUUGUUCUGUAUAUUGUUCUAACGAACGUACAUUGCGAAUGUCUGGGUGUGAAAUCUUUAACAGUCGUCGAUAUUAAGGGCAUUGCCCAAUGAAGGAUGACAAGCCAGCUUAUCUUUACAAGCGAUUAUUGGGGAUUUUUCACAAUACCAAAGAUUCCUUGAUUGAGCAAUUGAAUCAAUAAGAAUUAUUGAAAUGUAUCAUAUGAUUAUGUGACUAUAUAUGUUUCUACUUUAUCAACUUGUUGUUGCCAUGUCCCAAUAUAAGAGACUUAUAAAAAAAGUCAGACCGUAGUACUAGAAUGUAUGGGGAUAAAUGAGUUCAUAUUUAUUUUAUCCAUAUGCUUGGAAAUGUACACAUAUCGUCGUACUAAUUCUAAAGACACUUAAGUACACAAGAUGAACAUGUAAAUAGACUGCACUUAAGUCUUCUUAGAAUUAAACAUCGAUUGCACUUAAGUCUAUUUAGAAUUAGUACGACGAUAUGUAACUUACCGGGUAACUAAACAUACCAGGCUUUUCAUUAUUAGUUCUAAACUGCAAUGACCAUAAUUACAUAUUUAUUUACAACUAUGUACGACGCUAAUAAAAUUUUACCUGAUGUGACGAA